UACGUAGGUGGCAAGCGUUGUCCGGAUUUACUGGGCGUAAAGCGUGCGCAGGCGGUCUGCUAAGAGAGGUGUGAAAUCCCCGGGCUUAACCUGGGAACUGCGCUUCUAACUGGCAGGCUAGAGUGUGGCAGAGGGGGGUGGAAUUCCACGUGUAGCAGUGAAAUGCGUAGAGAUGUGGAGGAACACCGAUGGCGAAGGCAGCUUGCUGGGCUACUCCUGACACUGAGGUACGAAAGCGUGGGGAGCGAACAGG
rnacentral:rRNA from 1 species